rnacentral:rRNA from 1 species
AUUGAACGCUGGCGGCAGGCCUAACACAUGCAAGUCGGACGGGUGUCGGUCGGGUGAGUGAUGUUUGGGCAACUGUCCGCUGGAGGUGGAUAACUACUGGCAACGGUAGCUAAUACCGCAUACUAUCGUUUCUUCCCUGAUGGGUUAAGCUAGUAGGUGGGGUAAUGGCUCUCCUGGGCUACGAUCCCUAGCCGGUCUGAGAGGAUGACCAGCCACACGGGAACUGAGACACGGUCCAGACUCUUACGGGAGGAACAAGUGGGGAACUUUGCAAAAGGGGCGAAAGCCGGACGCAGCCAGGCCGGGGGGAGGAAGAAGGCCUUGGGGUUGGAAAGUACUUUCAGCGAGGAGGCGUUACUCGAAGAAGAAGCACCGGCUAACUCCGUGCCAGCCGCCGCGGUAAUAC